rnacentral:rRNA from 1 species
UUCAAGAGUACGUGAAACCGUCCAGGGGUAAACCUGCGAAACUCGAAUGAACGAACGGGGAGAUUCAUCGUCACUCCUCGGCGCGGGUGCGCAGGUUCGAUGCUCACGGUCUCGGCCGUGGGCACUGCCCGCGCGGCCGGCGUCCGGGGACGGCGUGCACUUCUCUCUCAGUAAUACAUCGCGACCCGUUCGAUGUCGGCCUAAGUGCCCCCCGGGAGUCUGGACCUCGGUCCAGACCGGCGGGAGCACCGGCCGGCCGUCGGACGGUAUAACAUACGAAACGCUCACGCGCCUACGUGCGCGUCCGGCCCGACGCAAGGCAACGUCGUAUCCCCCUUCCUGCCCGAGUGCGGACGGGGGUGCGGCGCGCCUGUCGUCGCAGCCGUGCUGUCUCGGACCGUGUGCGUAUCCGUCUGCGAUGAUUCAGUUUCGGGCACUCGCAGGACCCGUCU